AAGGUGGCAUCUGAGAAAAAAUGGCAUCCUUUUACAAGGUAGCCACAGCUAGGUCAUACAGAGUGGCCCAAGAGUGAAGCUUGGGGAGCUCUGACUAGUUAAGGACCAAGAUUUUUGGGAGAAAUCCCUUUGUUCCAAGCAGGCUGGGAAAGGGAGCUACCUCAAACAGCUGUGAUAGGAGUGUUUCAUAACGCAGAGGGAAAGCCUCCUUAAAGCCAUAUUGACUUUUCAGCUCGCAAACAGGCCUUACUCCUCAUUCCUUGAGAGAAGAGAGAAACAAGCUGGACGUAUUUUCAGAGGUUUGGGAAUGUUUUAAUAGAUUCGACUAGAACGCUAUAACAAUAAGCGGAGCAUUGGGUAUUAUUUAGAAGUUAUCAACUCAUUUGAUUUACCCUAUAACACGAGUAUUUUCCAGAGGCAGUAGAACAGAAUUGUCUGGCAGUGCUAACUUUUCCCUAUUUUCCAAGCAGAUCCCUGAGGAUAGCAGAAAGUAAAGGUUUGUCUGGGGGAGGGUAGACUUCUCCUAAAAAGAGAAUUCUGGAAGUCAUCAUAAUUAAACAAAGAGGAAAAUGUGCCAGACAGGAGUGGGUGGGGGCUGUUUUCUCUUUUGGUUGGUGGUGGUGCGUUCAAGAUCCUUAACCUAAGAUGAGGCUUCUGAGCCUCCAGCAGGCGAGCAGCUGCCCCAGAGACCCAGGGCUCCAGGAGGAGGCGGCGCAGGUGGCCAGGCUCCCCGCAGGUAUAAUUAUUAUUAUCAGCAUCUAGAAAGCGUCGUGCGGUGCGUUGACCUUCGCCAUACUGCAUUGUUCUUACUGGAUCUUUCUAUCAGUGAACAUUAUGGAAGUACCAGUGCAACAUCAAGUCAUUCCUGGAUGAAAAGUUAUCAGACUUGUUCUUUU
rnacentral:lncRNA from 1 species